rnacentral:rRNA from 1 species
GACGAACGCUGGCGGCGUGCCUAAUACAUGCAAGUCGAGCGAACCCGGGGUGCUUGCACCCUGAGGGUUAGCGGCGGACGGGUGAGUAACACGUGGGGAACCUGCCUUGCUGUCUGGGAUAACACCGGGAAACCGGUGCUAAUACCGGAUGUCCCCUUUCCGGCACCUGCCGGAGAGGGAAAAGGCGGCUUUGAGCCGCCGCAGCAAGAGGGGCCCGCGGCGCAUUAGUUAGGGGGCAGGGUAACGGCCUCCCAAGGCGAGGAUGCGUAGCCGACCUGGGAGGGUGAUCGGCCACACUGGGACUGAGACACGGCCCAGACUCCUACGGGAGGCAGCAGUAGGGAAUCCUCCGCAAUGGACGAAAGUCUGACGGUGCAACGCCGCGUGAGUGAUGAAGGUUUUCGGAUCGUAAAGCUCUGUUGUGAGGGAAGAAUAGGAUGGGGAGGAAAUGCCCGAUCUGUGACGGUACCUCACCAGAAAGCCCCGGCUAACUACGUGCCAGCCGCCGCAGUAA